rnacentral:tRNA from 1 species
GGGUUGUUGGCAGAACGGUUAUGCAGCCGCCUUUUAAGCGGACUCAUCCAGGUUCAACCCCUGGGCAACCCACCA